rnacentral:rRNA from 1 species
UUUGGAAGCUAAGAACAUCUGGUGUGUACUUGAAUGGGAGACCACCAGGAAAAAUCAGGAAUUUCCAGAU